CACGUAGGGCGCAAGCGUUGUCCGGAAUUAUUGGGCGUAAAGAGCUCGUAGGCGGUCUGUUACGUCUGCUGUGAAAACCCGGGGCUUAACCCUGGGCUUGCAGUGGAUACGGGCAGACUAGAGGCAGGUAGGGGAGAAUGGAAUUCCCGGUGUAGCGGUGAAAUGCGCAGAUAUCGGGAGGAACACCGGUGGCGAAGGCGAGUCUCUGGACAUUUCCUGACGCUGAGGCACGAAAGCCAGGGGAGCAAACGGGG
rnacentral:rRNA from 1 species